AUGCAUUUGACAGACCUGGAGCCGAUACAGUCUGCUGCUAAAGUUUCCACUGCAGGUGCAAGAAAACAGUGUCCUGGUACUUUCCGUCUGUCUGAUUGUGGCAGCCAAGAUUGAACAGAGGAAUACAGGA
ensembl:snoRNA